AGGAAUGCCUAGUAAGCGCGAGUCAUCAGCUCGCGU
rnacentral:rRNA from 2 species